UACGGAGGGUGCGAGCGUUAAUCGGAAUUACUGGGCGUAAAGCGCAUGCAGGUGGUCUGUUAAGUCAGAUGUGAAAGCCCCCGGGCUUAACCCGGGAAUAGCAUUUGAAACUGUCAGGCUAGAGUACUGUAGAGGGGGUAGGAAUUUCAGGUGUAGCGGUGUAAUGCGUAGAGAUCUGAAGGAAUACCGGUGGCGAAGGCGGCCCCCUCGGACAGAUACUGACACUCAGAUGCGAAAGCGUGGGGAGCAAACAGGAUUAGAUACCCGGGUAGU
rnacentral:rRNA from 1 species